rnacentral:rRNA from 1 species
UGGGGAAUAUUGCGCAAUGGCCGCAAGGCUGACGCAGCGACGCCGCGUGUGGGAUGAAGGCCUUCGGGUUGUAAACCACUGUCGGGGGGGGCGAAUACCUGGCUUCGAAUAGGAGACCAGGGGUGACGGUACCUCCAAAGGAAGCACCGGCUAACUCCGUGCCAGCAGCCGCGGUAAUACGGAGGGUGCGAGCGUUGUCCGGAAUCACUGGGCGUAAAGGGCGCGUAGGCGGCCGUGUAAGUCACUUGUGAAAUCCCGGGGCUCAACUCCGGGGCUGCAGGUGAGACUGCGUGGCUAGAGCACGGUAGAGGCGAGUGGAAUUCCCGGUGUAGCGGUGGAAUGCGUAGAUAUCGGGAAGAACACCGGUGGCGAAGGCGGCUCGCUGGGCCGUUGCUGACGCUGAGGCGCGAAAGCGUGGGGAGCAAACAG